GAUGAACGCUGACAGAAUGCUUAACACAUGCAAGUCGACUCGAGUCUUCGGACUUGGGUGGCGGACGGGUGAGUAACGCGUAAAGAACUUGCCUCAUAGUCUGGGACAACAUUUGGAAACGGAUGCUAAUACCGGAUAUUAUGCUUUCUUCGCAUGGAGGAAGUAUGAAAGCUAUAUGCGCUAUGAGAGAGCUUUGCGUCCCCUUAGCUAGUUGGUGAGGUAACGGCCCACCAAGGCGAUGAUGGGUAGCCGGCCUGAGAGGGUGAACGGCCACAAGGGGACUGAGACACGGCCCUUACUCCUACGGGAGGCAGCAGUGGGGAAUAUUUGACAAUGGACCAAAAGUCUGAUCCAGCAAUUCUGUGUGCACGAUGACGUUUUUCGGAAUGUAAAGUGCUUUCAGUCGGGAAGAAGCAAGUGACGGUACCGACAGAAGAAGCGACGGCUAAAUACGUGCCAGCAGCCGCGGUAAUACGUAUGUCGCAAGCGUUAUCCGGAUUUAUUGGGCGUAAAGCGCGUCUAGGCGGCAAGGAAAGUCUGAUGUGAAAAUGCGGGGCUCAACUCCGUAUUGCGUUGGAAACUGCCUUACUAGAGUACUGGAGAGGUAGGCGGAACUACAAGUGUAGAGGUGAAAUUCGUAGAUAUUUGUAGGAAUGCCGAUGGGGAAGCCAGCCUACUGGACAGAUACUGACGCUAAAGCGCGAAAGCGUGGGCAGCAAACAGG
rnacentral:rRNA from 1 species